GUUGUUUGAGAAGGACAUUGAGUAUCUGAAGACUGAGCUGAACCACAUCUCAGCCGCUGACACGUCCCCUAUCAGUCUCUAUGAGUACUUCCACAUCUCUCCCAUCAAGCUGCACCUGAGUUUCUCUUUGAGUUCUGGGGGAGAGGAUGGUAAUAAGGAGAAGAGGGAGACUGAGGUCAUCCCUGUCCAAUCCCUCAAUCUGCUGCUGAAGAGCAUCGGAGCAACCCUCACUGACGUGCAGGACGUCGUCUUCAAAUUGGCCUAUUU